rnacentral:lncRNA from 1 species
UUCUCUGAUUGUGUUAAGCGUUUAUGUUACUUUCAGUCUCUCCCUCUCGUCUCCAAUCAAAGCUAUCUCAUCUCAUCUCUCUCACUCUCCUGGAUGAAAGAACCUCUCGACCCUUUCACUCUCAGUCUCUCGAGUCUUUCACUAUAUCGUCUCUCUACUAUAUCGAAAUACUCUUCUUCUUCAGAUGGGUGUCUCUGAUUUCAUCAUCUUAAUAAAGCGGGUUUGAUGGGUUUGUUAAAGUCUAUUGAUGGGUCUGCUUGUUCGUUUAUGUUUCUCUGAUUUAAGGCUUGUUUCUGAUGAAUUUGUAAACUUUAUGGCUUGUUUCUGAUGAAUUUGUAAAGUCUUAUGGCUUGUUUGUAAUAAAAUUGUAAGGUCUCAUGGCUUGUAUCCGAUGAAUUUGUAAAGUCUCAUGGCUUGUUUUCUGAUAAACCUGAAAGAUCUCAUGGCUUUUUUCGAUUGUGAAUAUGUAAAGUCUCAUGGUUAUCAAGGUCUUAACUUGAUCGUUUCUGUUAUUUUCACUUCGGUUAUUGACGUUUUAGCUUGUUAUAAUCUGCCUGAAGAUAGUAACAUGUUUAUGGUCAUUGCUUGUAAGUUGU